GCACCCGUAGUUCAAUGGAUAGAAUAGCGGCCUCCGAAGCCGUAGAUCUGGGUUCGACUCCCGGCGGGUGCACCA
rnacentral:tRNA from 1 species